rnacentral:rRNA from 1 species
UACGAAGGUGGCGAGCGUUGUUCGGAAUUACUGGGCGUAAAGGGCGCGUAGGCGGCGACUCAAGUUAGAUGUGAAAGUCCUGGGCUUAACCUGGGGACUGCAUUUGAUACUGGGUUGCUUGAAUUCGGGAGAGGAUAGCGGAAUUCCCAGUGUAGAGGUGAAAUUCGUAGAUAUUGGGAAGAACACCGGUGGCGAAGGCGGCUAUCUGGACCGACAUUGACGCUGAGGCGCGAAAGCGUGGGGAGCAAACAGG